rnacentral:rRNA from 1 species
AUUGAACGCUGGCGGCAUGCUUUACACAUGCAAGUCGAACGGUAACAGGCCGCAAGGUGCUGACGAGUGGCGAACGGGUGAGUAAUGCAUCGGAACGUGCCCAGUCGUGGGGGAUAACGCAGCGAAAGCUGCGCUAAUACCGCAUACGAUCUAUGGAUGAAAGCGGGGGACCGUAAGGCCUCGCGCGAUUGGAGCGGCCGAUGUCAGAUUAGGUAGUUGGUGGGGUAAAGGCUCACCAAGCCAACGAUCUGUAGCUGGUCGGGGAGGACGACCAGCCAGACUGGGACUGAGACACGGCCCAGACUCCUACGGGAGGCAGCAGUGGGGAAUUUUGGACAAUGGGCGCAAGCCUGAUCCAGCAAUGCCGCGUGCAGGAAGAAGGCCUUCGGGUUGUAAACUGCUUUUGUACGGAACGAAACGGCUCUGGUUAAUACCUGGGGCUAAUGACGGUACCGUAAGAAUAAGCACCGGCUAACUACGUGCCAGCCGCCGCGGUAAAAC